UCUGUAUGAUGAAAACAGGUGACGAGUCUGAUGUAAUACAUUCUAUUAAACCAUGUGGGCAAUAGAGGCAUUUGUCUGAGAGAA
rfam:Triticum aestivum genome assembly, contig: Triticum_aestivum_CS42_TGACv1_scaffold_196975_3AL